UGGAAACUACUGUCUUUUUAAUUAUACCAGUUCAGCAACUUUCUGUCCCACUAGUUGAUGGCUGCAUGGAGAUAUUUUUAAGAGAAACUGAACAUAUCAAGGUCUUGGGACAAUUGUGAAAAAAAACCUUCUGAGUAGAGACAGAAGGGGUUUCUGAUGUCACCUACUCACUUUCCACUGGCACAUCUGGUGUCAAAUACCCCAGAAGAGAAGCAUGUACAUUACCUUCUGUUUAGAAGUCUUAUUGGUUCACUGUAUCAGGAGUGCAAGGUUACAGUAUCUAAAUUUAUCACAUUCAAGAAUAAUAUACUAGAAGCAAACCAAACAGCAUAUUUACUCUCAGCAACAACCUGCCUAUAAAAUUAGUUCACUGUAUUGCAAGUUCAAUUUGAAUGCUAUCAAGCCUUUUAAGUGUAAGCAAAUGUAUGCUUGCUGUGUGUAUCACCUGCCCUAUACAAAAACUGUAUAUCA